GCCAGCAGGGAAGACGAGCUCUUUUCUUCUCUUUUUUUUAUUGGCUACUUAUAAGGGCUUUCUUUGAUUGGCAUGCUGAGAGAAACCCCACCUCUUCCUGCGUCCUAUUGGAUGAUAACAGACAACUCUAAAUCUGAUUGGAAGAUGAGACCAGGACUUUUUUUCCCAUUGGCUCGGUGGGUUUUGAGGCGUCCGAUUGGCCAGUGACAUGACGGCUGCAUACAGAGCCGCCAGUUUUACUUUACCCAUCAUCCCUCAGGGCGUCCUGAGACCUGUUAUCAGCUCUCUUUGGGAUUCACUCAGACCUUUUGGCAUCAUGAAGCCGGUACAUCACCAUGGUAACUGAGGUAGAUCGCCACGGUAACAGAGUCAUCGUUUCUACGGGAUCCUGACGGGGACAAAAAUACCGAGUCUCUGAUGAAGUGAAGAGACGUUCAAAUAAGAACAAAUCGGAUUAAUCUAAAAACUCAAAAUUUAUUCGAAGAAGUUUGAUAGAUUUUGACUUUUUUAGUUGAGACGCUUCAGGUAAAAACACGUAAGAGACAAAUAUUUGACGUUGGUGAUAAUCUGGAGACGUUUGAAAGUUACAGAAACUGACGUGAUGACAUCACAGACCAGCUGCUGCUCGCCGCUCUGACCUAAGGAAACGCAGCUGCGCUGGUUUUAUCAUCGACCAAUCACCUCAAAGAUCCCAACAUCAUCACCUGCCACGUCCCCACCUCUCAAGACUGACCACGCCCCAAGAGGCGAAGAAGCUUAGACUCCGCCCAUUCUCUCACCUGCACACAGCCGACCAAUCACAGUCAUCUUCUGUGGUGUUUAAUGUUUAUCACCGUCCUGGUUCUCAUGAGGAUCAGUGAGAUGCCAAAAGAGACAGACUGAGCUGAAACAGGCUCCUGGUGCACUCAUCUUCAUCAUCAUCUUCAUCGUCGACUUCAUCUUCGUCAGUCUAACUUUUAAAUCGUAUGCAAACACCUGAACCUGUGGGUCUCGUUGUCUUGGAGACCAAACAGCUGAUUCUGAUCUGAGCAUGUGAAAAUCACUGGAAUGAUUUUUUUAUUUUUAUAAAGUUCAACAUGUAAAGACUCAAUAUUAUUAUUAUUAUUAUUAGAGAUGAAAUAGAACAGAGUUGCUCUGAUUUGCCUGCUUGCUUGUAAAAUAGAAGAAACCUUUAUUGUAAUGAUGUAACAGAGCCAUACACACAUACACACACACACACAGAUGUCAGGUCCAGCUGCGGUCCUGUUGGCUUUUAAUAAACAUAACAUCGCCAUGGCAACACGGUCAUCAGGAUGGGUGACCUGUUUCUCUAGCAACAGCCACGGUGGAGGAGGACGACAUCGCCAACAUGGCCGACGACCUGCAGCUCUGGAUCAUAACAAGUGCCUCAUUUUGGUUUUUUGGCCUUCAUCAUAUAAAGUGUCACCCGACCCCCCCCAUCCCCCGUGUCCUCACUGGUUUUAUAUCUGAGACGAUUCGUCUUCGUCAUGUCUUGUGGACGCGUCCCCGUCUCUGCUUCAGCUCAAGAUUAUUCUCAUCAUUAUAUUUAUUCCUCAUUUUCUCAACUGAUUCACGUUAGAGACUAAAUCUUCAGUUUUUAAAUCUCUUUGUGCUGCAGCUGAUGAAUCUGUUCAUCUUCAGCAGAUGAAUCAGUAAUAAUCAAUAAAUAAAAAUCGAUGAUUAGUUUUAGUGUUUUGUAUGAGAGACACAUGAAGUAACCGUCACAUCCUGUUGACGCGUCUUUUCUCUGUUCAUCAGAUUUGUCCGGAGCUGAUUCUCGUCUUUAAUCUGAAGAAAAAUUCUGUUUCCAACGAUUUGUGUUUCGGACGAAAAAACAUCAUUGAUCAGUUUCUUCUCUGUUUCUGUUUUCAGAUUUAAAACACACAUUGUUCUCCUCUUCAUUCAGCAGACUUUUAUUCUGAAGGUUUUAUCCUGUAUCAUUCAUAAGUUGUGUCGUCUUCUUCGUAGACUGAAUCUGUAAUGACACAGUCUGGUCUGCGGGGGGCGUGAUUGGUGUCACCAGCUUGUCCCGCCCUUACCGCUGUCGCCUAGCAACACAUCGUGAUUAUGUCCCUGAAGCCCAGUGAACCCUGGGAUAUGUUGUCCUGAGCAGGACGUGACCUGACACAUCUGAAGGAUCCUUAUCGACGGGGCGAUUCUGAAUGAGACGGAUUUAUAGAAACAUUUGAUUCAGAAAAACACGAUGAACAUGAUUUUUAUUCUGAUUCACGAAGAGAUAAAAACACAAAAUCUUGUUUGAUCAGAUUUAAUUUGUCUCAUUAACGUCUCAUUCUCAUAUUUAAACGUUUAAUGAUCGAUGUCAAACUGAGAAGUUUCAUGUUUAAAUUUUCACUUUGAAUACAAAGUUGUUCACUUCCUGUUCACUGUGACGCUUCAUUAACACGGAUGCAUGAACCUGUUCCCAUGGUAACUGGAGUCAUGUGACAGACUCUGGUUGUGUUGUUAUGUAAAAUGUUCAUUUUCUAAAUAAUUAUCUUUGA